CCUACGGGAGGCAGCAGUGAGGAAUAUUGGUCAAUGGACGAGAGUCUGAACCAGCCAAGUAGCGUGAAGGAUGACUGCCCUAUGGGUUGUAAACUUCUUUUAUAUGGGAAUAAAAUGUUCCACGUGUGGGAUUUUGUAUGUACCAUAUGAAUAAGGAUCGGCUAACUCCGUGCCAGCAGCCGCGGUAAUACGGAGGAUCCGAGCGUUAUCCGGAUGUAUUGGGUUUAAAGGGAGCGUAGGUGGAUUGUUAAGUCAGUUGUGAAAGUUUGCGGCUCAACCGUAAAAUUGCAGUUGAAACUGGCAGUCUUGAGUACAGUAGAGGGGGGCGGAAUUCGAGGUGUAGGGGUGAAAUGCUUAGAUAUCACGAAGAACUCCGAUUGCGAAGGCAGCUCACUGGACUGCAACUGACACUGAGGCUCGAAAGUGUGGGUAUCAAACAGGAUUAGAUACCCGAGUAGUC
rnacentral:rRNA from 1 species